UACGGAGGGUGCGAGCGUUGUCCGGAUUUAUUGGGUUUAAAGGGUGCGUAGGCGGUUUGAUAAGUCUGGGGUGAAAGCCCGUUGCUCAACAACGGAACUGCCCUGGAUACUGUCAGACUUGAGGACAGACGAGGUUGGCGGAAUAGAAGAUGUAGCGGUGAAAUGCAUAGAUAUCUUCUAGAACCCCCGAUUGCGAAGGCAGCUGACUAGACUGUAACUGACGCUGAGGCACGAAAGCGUGGGGAGCGAACAGG
rnacentral:rRNA from 1 species